rnacentral:misc_RNA from 1 species
AAUGAACUGAAGGAGAUGUCCUAGGUACAUGAUCUAGGUGGAGAGGGACAUCCGACAUGGAAGGAUCUUCUACUCAUGAAGCUUGCAAAGAGAAUGAACUGAAGGAUAUGUCCUAGGUACCGGAUCUAGGUGGAGAGUGACGGCGCAUGUCUGCAUAUUACAUGUAGAUUUGUUUUGUUGAGUUCAUUAUAACCAUUAUAUGUUUUAGUUUCUAAAGGUAAUAAUUUUGUGAUUAAUUAUUUCAUGUGCCAAUAUGAGUUUUGUUAUGGCUCUUGCAGAUGGUGG